GAGCGUGCGUCCUAUUAGCUAGUUGGUGAGGCAAUGGCUCACCAAGGCUACGAUGGGUAGGGGUUCUUAGUGGAAGAUCCCCCACACUGGCACUGAGAUACGGGCCAGACUCCUACGGGAGGCAGCAGUAGGGAAUAUUGGUCAAUGGGCGAAAGCCUGAACCAGCCAUGCCGCGUGCAGGAUGACAGCUCUCUGAGUUGUAAACUGCUUUUGUACAGGAGCAAAACAAUCCCUGCGGGGGUUCUUGAGAGUACUGUAAGAAUAAGCACCGGCUAAUUCCGUGCCAGCAGCCGCGGUAAUACGGAAGGUGCAAGCGUUAUCCGGUUUUAUUGGGUUUAAAGGGUGCGUAGGCGGCUUAUUAAGUCAGUUGUGAAAUCCUAGUGCUUAACGCUAGAACUGCAAUUGAUACUAUUAGGCUUGAGUUA
rnacentral:rRNA from 1 species